rnacentral:miRNA from 1 species
AUAGUCCAUAACUGCCAUC